rnacentral:rRNA from 1 species
ACGGAGGGUGCAAGCGUUAUUCGGAAUUACUGGGCGUAAAGCGCGUGUAGGCGGUCCUGCAAGUCUGAUGUGAAAGCCCCGGGCUUAACCCGGGAAGUGCAUUGGAAACUGCAGGUCUUGAGUACUGGAGAGGAUGGGGGAAUUCCCGGUGUAGAGGUGAAAUUCGUAGAUAUCGGGAGGAAUAUCGAUGGCGAAGGCGGCCAUCUGGACUAUAACUGACGCUGAUACGCGAAAGCGUGGGUAGCAAACAG